GACGGGGCCCCGCACAAGCAGCGGAGCGUGUGGUUUAAUUCGAUGCUACACGAAGAACCUUACCAGGGUUUGACAUGCAAGUGGUAGGAAGCCGAAAGGUGACCCGACCCUUCGGGGAGCUUGCACAGGUGCUGCAUGGCUGUCGUCAGCUCGUGUCGUGAGAUGUUCGGUUAAGUCCGCUAACGAGCGCAACCCUCGCUGUGUGUUAUAUGUGUCACACGGGACUGCCGGUCUUAAGCCGGAGGAAGGUGGGGAUGAUGUCAAGUCAGCAUGGCCUUUAUAUCCUGGGCUACACACACGCUACAAUGGCCAACACAAUAGGUUGCCAAGCCGCGAGGCGGAGCCAAUCCACAAAGCCGGCCUCAGUUCAGAUUGUAGGCUGCAACUCGCCUGCAUGAAGAUGGAGUUGCUAGUAACCGCAGGUCAGCAAUACUGCGGUGAAUACGUUCCCGGGUCUU
rnacentral:rRNA from 1 species